UACGUAGGGUGCAAGCGUUAAUCGGAAUUACUGGGCGUAAAGCGUGCGCAGGCGGUGAUGUAAGUCAGAUGUGAAAUCCCCGGGCUUAACCUGGGAACUGCGUUUGAAACUGGAAGGCUAGAGUGUGGCAGAGGGGGGUGGAAUUCCACGUGUAGCAGUGAAAUGCGUAGAUAUGUGGAGGAACACCGAUGGCGAAGGCAGCCCCCUGGGCUAACACUGACGCUCAUGCACGAAAGCGUGGGGAGCAAACAGG
rnacentral:rRNA from 1 species